AUUUUGAAAGAUAGCUAUGAUAUUGAUGAGUUUGAUACUUCUUUAUCUUGUAAUGAGAAAAAUAGUUAUGGCUUGCAACUAGCUAGGAGUUCUUGUGCAUUAUUGGAUGAUUCUAGCUCUUUGUUUUAUGGCUCCUUACCUAGUGAUGUGUGUGAUGUUGAAUCUUAAGAUUCCCCAUCUUUAUGGGAUGACGCAUGUGAUGAUGGCUCCUAACCUAAUGAUGUGUGUGAUGUUGAAUCUUAUGAUACCCCACUUUUACGGGAUGAUGCAUGUGAUGAUUCUUUUGAUUUUAUUUUUAUUCCUUUGGCAAAAAGAUUCAAUUUUUGUGGUGAAAUGAACAAACGUGAGUGUGGAGAUGCAUUGUUGGAG
rnacentral:lncRNA from 1 species